rnacentral:lncRNA from 7 species
AGGAAAAAAGUUACCUAUAUGGAUGUGAGCCUUGCUGUGGUGCUGACAUCAGGACCAGAGGACAGAUUCUGUUUUCCCAUUAAGUCAUAGCACAAAGUUUUCUUUUGUCUUCCCAAGUCUGUCUUAUGGAGCUGACAGGUUUGGGCUGUCAGAAAAUAGGCUACAGUUGGACAGUCUUCUAGACUUCUUGCUCCACGGUGCAAAACCUCAAACCCCAGGACAGAUUACUGAAGUUUUGCCUGCACAGAAGCCUUCAAAGGAGACACUGGAAACUACCUUGUGCUUCCUGAGAAGCUGAAAUUGAUUCUCAGUCUACUGAAAUUGAUGGCUGUUGUUUGUUUAAUUAAGCUAUUUUGCUUUCAUAAUUUGUUUUGCAAAGGAACUUCUGCUUCACUUCGCAAUUCCAAACAACAUCAUCAGUAAUCUCAUGGGACUCAUACUAGGAGUGAGAUUAUUGCCUUUGUAAAAUCUGUAUAUAUAUGUAGAGAGAGAAAGUGCCAAAAACAAGUCAACUUCAUGGAUGAUGAUUGUUUUAAUGUAGAUAUGAGACUGCUUGUCAUCAUCUGUGUCAUCAGCUGUGGAAAAGCUCAUCUGAUGGUAGAAGGUAAUUUGUCUAGGUCAAAUGAGCAAGAAGAGAACAGAACAAAUUAGACCUUGCUCAACAUUGCAGGGGUAAUCCCAUUUGUAGCACUAAAAACUGUACUGAAUAUGUGUUUAUUUAGGGUAAUCCAGUAGAACUGUUAUAACACUGUAAAUAGUGAUGUAAUGGAAGUGAGGAAUUUUUCUAAAGUAGCAGAAGUUCUGUAUCAGUCUACUAUAACAAAAAAAUAAAAAUAAUUUAAACUAAUGGAUUUUACAGACAAAUCUUCUGAAGUAGUGAGAAAACAUCUGUGUCUGUUCUACAAUCAUGUCCUUCCUGGGAGGAAAAGAUGAGAAAUAUCAGCAUAUGAAAUAAAGUUUAAAAAAAUAUUAGAGUAUGUUAUGUGUUGUACAUGUAUAAUAAAUUUUUGAAAGGAGAGAAAAGAAAACCUCCAAACCUCAGAACGCAACAUGGCAAACAAUGAUGUUUAAAGUUGGUCACAGAGCUUAAAUGUUUGACACUCAGUGACAUUGACCAUUCACAGCAAUUAAACAGUUUUUAAUCAGUACUUUGACUCAGAAAUUAAGUAAUUUUGAUGUGGUUUUUAAGUUUAAGCAGUCCAGUUUAAAAUGCAGUCUGUGAAAAUUUAAUCAAGUUUCCAAUUUUAUUAAAUGUUUCCAUGCUGUGACUAGAAUCCAUAUCCAAAUGUUCAUGUGCUCUACCCUGCUGAAAUGUCUACUAUAGAAUAACUUAUACAAGACAUUGUUCCUGUGAAAAUGUUUAAUUUUCCAUAAACAGUAAAGAUUAAAUAUUGUACUUAUGUGUGACUGCAAUCAAAAAUUAAAGUUCUUUGUGUUGGAAU